GAUGAACGCUAGCGAUAGGCUUAACACAUGCAAGUCGAGGGGUAACGUGUUGGAAGCUUGCUUCCGAUGACGACGACCGGCGGAUGGGUGCGUAACGCGUAUGCAACUUGCCUCACAGUGGAGAAUAACCCGGAGAAAUCCGGACUAAUGUUCCAUACACUCUUAAGUACUCCUGUACAUGAGAGGAAAGAUUUAUCGCUGUGAGAUAGGCAUGCGUCCUAUUAGGUAGUUGGUGAGGUAACGGCUCACCAAGCCGACGAUAGGUAGGGGUGCUGAGAGGCAGAUCCCCAACAUGGGAACUGAGACACGGCCCAAACUCCUACGGGAGGAAGGAGGGGGAAAUAUUGGUAAAUGGAGGAAACUCUGAACCAGCCAAGUCGCGGGAAGGAAGAAUGUCCUAAGGUUUGUAAACUUUUUUAGCGGGCGAGUAAGGACUUCCACGUGAUGGGGUUUUGAAAGUAGCUCGAGAAUAAGUAUCGGCUAACCCCGU
rnacentral:rRNA from 1 species